UACGGAGGGGGGCUAGCGUUGUUCGGAUUCAUUGGGCGUAAAGGGUGCGUAGGCGGCGCGGUAAGUCGGGUGUGAAAUCUCGGAGCUUAACUCCGAAACUGCAUUCGAUACUGCCGUGCUUGAGGACUGGAGAGGAGACUGGAAUUUACGGUGUAGCGGUGAAAUGCGUAGAUAUCGUAAGGAAGACCAGUGGCGAAGGCGGGUCUCUGGACAGUUCCUGACGCUGAGGCACGAAGGCCAGGGGGAGCAAACGGGG
rnacentral:rRNA from 1 species